AUCUCUCACUUAGCUGAUUGGUCAUAGCUAAAUUAGUUAUUUGUCAAAAAUGUGAGGAGGGAUGUAGCCACAGCUGUGAUGUACUAGCUAUAUAUCUGCCCCGUGGUGAUGUGAUGGUGGUGUGGAUCAAAAGCAGCCCCCAAAACUGUCCAGGUGAGUGGCAGACUUGCACUCUCUACACAGAAUCACUCGCGACCAAUCUCAACAAGCGCGCGAGGCCGGAGAUACGCAUGCGUCAACAUGAGGAGGAGGAGGAGGGACUACUUUAACGCUUCGAACACACCGAAUGCGAAAUAACAUUUUGCGCGGUAUGCAAGUAUACUGAUGCAGGUAUCUUUUGCAGACGGUCGCAUGCGGUUGGACACACGGAGGAGAGAAUCCUGUUCAGUAUCCUCAAAGCCGUGUCUUUUUGACACAACUGCUGACAGCUACAGGGACAUAACCACAAAAAAUGCUGCUUGGAGACAAGUGUCCACGAUAGUACCAUUGCCUGGUCAGUUUAGUAGUGAGCUUGUGCUAUAUGUGGCUAGUUAGCUAGCUACCCUAGCCAAUUGUGUGUGUGUGUGUGUGUGUGUGUGUGUGUGUGUGUGUGUGUGUGUGUGUGUGACAAAGAAAUAGUAAUAAAUUAUGCUGGUUACUACCCCUGAUAACUUGCCCAAAUAAUCAUGCUUGAAAGAGUGUGAGUGUGUAUGUCAGAUAAAUAGAAAUGAUAGAUACUACUGUACCCCUAAUAAUUUGGUCAGAUAACGGUGUGUGUAUAGUAGGUGACAUGUCAAUGAUAGUUAUAUAAUAACUAUAGUUAUGCUAGGUGAUGGUUUGGCUUAUCAUGUUCAUGUCUAUGUAGAAGAAGACUGUAGGAGGAAGUGGAGAGGACUCAGGGACAGGUAUCAGAGAGAGAAGGGCAGAGAAAGAGAAGAGGUCUGGGUCAGCAGUUUCAGGCCAGCAGCCUUGGCGCUUCUUCCACAUUCUUUCUUUUCUGGAUCCAUUUAUUGUGCCUAGGGCUACAAGUGGCAAUUUUACAGCCAGACCCUUUACGUCAUCCACAAGUGUGGGCGCCACGGGUGCAUCAAGACUCUACGUCAUUAACAAGUGAGACCAGUCUCCACCGGUGCAGUGAGACCCUCCACAUCAUCCACAAAUAUGACCACCACCGGUGCAGCCAUGGAAGAUGAUGAAAUGGAGGAAGCACCUCUGGAUCUAGGACCACCUGAGAUUAUUAAGAAACUCACAGGAAGUGACCACUGAGGACCUUGUUGAACAGGAUGUGGCCGUGGAGAGAAACCAAGAGGACCAACGUCACACCAGGCGCCAUCGGCGGUACCAGCCCCCAGAUCCACUCAACUCAUUUCAGCAGAGGCUCCUCCAAGCCAUCGAGAGGGAUGCAGCCCAACCUGAUGCUAACAGGAAGGAGGAUGAAGAAACCUUCUUUGCCAUGAGCCUGGUUUUAACCCUGAAGAGGCUGCCUCAGCGAAGAAAAGCAGCAUUCAAGGUUAAAAUUCAUCAGCUGCUUUUCUAUGCCGAGUUCAAUGAGAUGGAGUCAAUUUAGCAGACCAGCUCAUAGGAAGGACAAGAAGAGGAGAUUGUCUGGUUGUUGUUUUGACCUUCUCCUCCAUGGGUUUUGAGCGGGAGGUAAGGAAAGGACGUGAGGAAUCAAGGAACUGCAACUGAGAUUUUCCCACUGUCAACUGAGAUUUUGUAACUGUUCUUAUUGCGCUUACUAUGUCCUUGUUAGUAGUUUCUCAAUACUUAGGAUAGCAUUCAUUAUUAGUUGUACAUAGAUUGCAUGAAAAUUGACUGAAUUGAAACUGACACACCAGAGAAUUCAGAUGCUCUUGUUGUUCUUUUACAAGACUAAAGGUGAAAUAUGUGUUUACCUGUAUUGUGGCUCCAAAUUCACUUUUAGUAUUCAGACACACACCUCCUCCACUCCUCUAUGUACCUCAGAUCUCCAGUGCCCUGCCCUCUCUCUUUAUGGCCAUGUCUGAAGUUCCCCUACUAUGUCUAGGCUUUAUGAGUAGUCCCUGUAUCUGUCUGCAGUUAUGCCAAAAAUACAUGCUCUUGUUGUUCUCUUACAGAUUACACAUUCAUUUUUAUAUUUUUACAGGCACAUACAGUACACACACACCUCACAAUAGUUGUAAUUUUUUGUAAUGUUUUUACAACAUAUACCUGUCAUGUUCUUUCCUGUACUUGAAUACUUAUUAAAUUAUGUUUUCAUUGUCA